rnacentral:rRNA from 1 species
UGUGAGGUAUGCUGGAGGUAUCAGAAGUGCGAAUGCUGACAUAAGUAACGAUAAAGCGGGUGAAAAGCCCGCUCGCCGGAAGACCAAGGGUUCCUGUCCAACGUUAAUCGGGGCAGGGUGAGUCGACCCCUAAGGCGAGGCCGAAAGGCGUAGUCGAUGGGAAACAGGUUAAUAUUCCUGUACUUGGUGUUACUGCGAAGGGGGGACGGAGAAGGCUAUGUUGGCCGGGCGACGGUUGUCCCGGUUUAAGCGUGUAGGCUGGUUUUCCAGGCAAAUCCGGAAAAUCAAGGCUGAGGCGUGAUGACGAGGCACUACGGUGCUGAAGCAACAAAUGCCCUGCUUCCAGGAAAAGCCUCUAAGCAUCAGGUAACAUCAAAUCGUACCCCAAACCGACACAGGUGGUCAGGUAGAGAAUACCAAGGCGCUUGAGAGAACUCGGGUGAAGGAACUAGGCAAAAUGGUGCCGUAACUUCGGGAGAAGGCACGCUGAUAUGUAGGUGAAGUCCCUCGCGGAUGGAGCUGAAAUCAGUCGAAGAUACCAGCUGGCUGCAACUGUUUAUUAAAAACACAGCACUGUGCAAACACGAAAGUGGACGUAUACGGUGUGACGCCUGCCCGGUGCCGGAAGGUUAAUUGAUGGGGUCAGCGCAAGCGAAGCUCUUGAUCGAAGCCCCGGUAAACGGCGGCCGUAACUAUAACGGUCCUAAGGUAGCGAAAUUCCUUGUCGGGUAAGUUCCGACCUGCACGAAUGGCGUAAUGAUGGCCAGGCUGUCUCCACCCGAGACUCAGUGAAAUUGAACUCGCUGUGAAGAUGCAGUGUACCCGCGGCAAGACGGAAAGACCCCGUGAACCUUUACUAUAGCUUGACACUGAACAUUGAGCCUUGAUGUGUAGGAUAGGUGGGAGGCUUUGAAGUGUGGACGCCAGUCUGCAUGGAGCCGACCUUGAAAUACCACCCUUUAAUGUUUGAUGUUCUAACGUUGACCCGUGAUCCGGGUUGCGGACAGUGUCUGGUGGGUAGUUUGACUGGGGCGGUCUCCUCCUAAAGAGUAACGGAGGAGCACGAAGGUUGGCUAAUCCUGGUCGGACAUCAGGAGGUUAGUGCAAUGGCAUAAGCCAGCUUGACUGCGAGCGUGACGGCGCGAGCAGGUGCGAAAGCAGGUCAUAGUGAUCCGGUGGUUCUGAAUGGAAGGGCCAUCGCUCAACGGAUAAAAGGUACUCCGGGGAUAACAGGCUGAUACCGCCCAAGAGUUCAUAUCGACGGCGGUGUUUGGCACCUCGAUGUCGGCUCAUCACAUCCUGGGGCUGAAGUAGGUCCCAAGGGUAUGGCUGUUCGCCAUUUAAAGUGGUACGCGAGCUGGGUUUAGAACGUCGUGAGACAGUUCGGUCCCUAUCUGCCGUGGGCGCUGGAGAACUGAGGGGGGCUGCUCCUAGUACGAGAGGACCGGAGUGGACGCAUCACUGGUGUUCGGGUUGUCAUGCCAAUGGCACUGCCCGGUAGCUAAAUGCGGAAGAGAUAAGUGCUGAAAGCAUCUAAGCACGAAACUUGCCCCGAGAUGAGUUCU